rnacentral:lncRNA from 1 species
AGCUACAUGUCUGUGUGAGGCCAAUUUUCUUCAUAUACUUCAAAACAACAGAAGAAUCCAGAUGUCUUCUAUUAACCAGAUGUUGGAAAGACUCAACCAACAUUUCUGAAGGCUUUGAGGCCCUUGCCAUCACAUGCUAAGAGGAGUAAAAUGAAGAAGCUAGCAACUGAAACAUGUACCAAGAAUAUCUGGGGUGUCAGCUUGCUCAUCUAUCUCCUGGGACAUUUUUGUCAGAAUACAGUGGCUGAAGCGUUUAAAAGGAAAGCUACAUCCAGAAAAAACUCCUGGAGUUGGGAUUUCAAAAUCUUAUUUCCAUUUUAUUCAAGUUAUUUCCUCUUUCUGCUGCAGCAAGGCAAAACUGAUGAACAAAGAGCAGCUUAUUAUUAGGAAGUAAGCAUUAAGGAAUUAUAACUUCAGCGAGGAUGCCAUGUAAGAACUGGAACUUUAAAUCUUCCCUGGACAAACUAGAAGACAUGAAAAUACUGCAGAUGAACCAUUUAUUAUUCCUCUCUUUCUCCUGUAGGCCUCCUGGCUUAACUAGAAUGCAGUCUCUCUGACUCUCAACCCUAGCUUACUCAAGAAGCUAGAGAAUCCUGUUACCAAAUCUGUAUGGUUCUGGCUGGACUAUAGGAAACAUAUUGAGGUUUGGGAAUUUGACGGCGCUUUCUGCUGAAUGACAGGUGAAAGAGUGGUUUAUAAAAUUGUAUGAGUUUUUAGAAAAGUUUAUCUACCUCCUACCUAUCAGAAAAUAUGAGUUAAUGUUUGCUAAUAUAAUUCAUUAUGAAACAACAUAAAAUCAUGCCUCAAAAGACACAUAUAAAAACAUAAAUUCCCUCAUCUUUAGAACUUUGUUUUCAAGUUUAUACAUAACAAUGUUAUGAAUUCUGUAGGAGUUUAAUUUUUUCUUUCCUGAAACUGACACAAAUAUUCAUUUAGAAAAUAUUUAUUCCCAUCAUCUCCUAAUGAAUUACAGAUAAUUUAUGGAUAUUAAAAUUUGAAUAAUUUUGAAAUAAUUAGAGCUUUUUUGAAAAGAAAAAUCUCAAUAUCUCUUCUGUACUAGUAAUGGAGUUACUAAGUUGCAGAAAAAUGUCACUAUAAAAACACAAGAAAAACAUUUUUUAUUAACAAAAACCACAUUCCUAAGGAAAUGAAAUCAAGGCAAGGUACUUAACAGCAGAUUCAUCUUGGAGAUUAUAAUCCUAAUGUUUUCACACUCUUACUCAAACAUCUGGCACUCGACUGUAUCACUCACUGGGUCAUUUUUCCUCUUUCAACAAGGACUUACUCAUAAAUGUCCUAUCUUUACACAGAAGUUUACUUAACUAAGAGUAGACAUUUUCAGAUAUCUGUAAUGCAUAAUAUAUUAAUAACAUUUAAAUAAAAUAUAAGCCUUUAUGCUUUCCUAAGAUAUGUGUAAUCAGAAAAUAAUAACACAGUACAAUUUCCUUAAGGCACCUAUCACAAAAAAAGUUGCUGAAAGCUUUGUACACAUGAAUGUUAACACCUCAAAAUUUCAGUAAGAUCUUAAUCAAAACCAGACAUUAUGCUCCACUCUGGGCCUUUUGUUUAACUGAGGUAAAAUGUAUCGUACAAUAUAGUAAGUCUGGAUAAAUGUUUCCCUGAGCCAAGAAAGCUACCCUGUGCUCUCUCCAGCCAAUCCCCGCCCACCACUAGGAAACUACUAUUCUAAUUUCAGUCACAUAGUUUGGUUUUUGCCUUUUCUUGAACUUGAUGUAAAUGAACCAUACAGUAAGCACUUCUUUGUGUCUUUUUUCCCUGAAAGUUUUUAAGAUCUGGGUUGUAUGCAUCAGUAGUUCAUUCUUUUCAUUGCUGAAUAGUAUUCCAUUAUAUGCAUAUACAUAGUUUACCCACAUUAUGAAUAAAGAUGCUAUGAACAUUCAUGUGCACAUAUUUGUGUGGACAUGUGUAUUCAUGUUCCUGGAUAAAUACCUGGGAGUGGAAUUCCUGGGUCAUAGCAAUAGGUAUGUACUAGGUAGGCCUAGGGUAUAUAUACAGUGACUUUAUAGGAAACUGACAAGCUAUUUGCUAAUGUGGUUGUGCCAUUUUAUGCUUCCCACCAGUGAAGCAUGCGAGUUCCAGCUAAUUCACAUCCUUUCCAAUAUUUGGUGUUUUCUAUCUUUAUCAUUGAUUUCUGGAGGUAUAAAAUAGCAUUUAAUUCAGGUUUUAAUUUGCCAUUUGUAUUUCUCUGACUACAAAUGAUGUUGAGCAUUUUUAAAAUGUGCUUAUUGGCCAGCAUCAUUGGUUAAGCCUGUCUUUAAGUCUUUGGGUAGUAUUUUUAAUUUUUGAUUUUCAAAUAAUUUCAGACUAACAAAAAAGUUUAAGAAAAGUACAUAAAGUUCCUGUAUAACCUUCACUCAGCUUCUCCAAAUGUUAUAUAACAUUAUAAAUCUUACAUAAAUAUCUUAAUCACAGCAUAAUGAUCACUGAAUUAUAAUUCAAUACUCUUAACAAAUCCACUUUUCUUAUAUUUCAUCGGUUGUCCACCUAUGUCCUUUUCGUGGUUCAGGGUCCAAUCCAGGAUCCUUGGUCUCCAACCGACAGUCUCUCAGUUUUUGUUUUCAUGACCUUGACACUUUUGAAAAAUACUGGCCCGUCAUUCCGUAGAAUGUUUUUGAGUUUGAAUUGUCUGAUAUCACCUCUUGCUUAAAUUCAACUUAGGCAUUUUUGGCAAGAAUUUAACAAGAGUGACGUUCUACCCUUCUCAGUGCACAAUUCCAGGUGGUACAUGAUAUUGACAUUUCUCAUUACUGGUGAUACUAACUUUGAUUACUUGGCUAAGGUGCCCGCCAGGUUUCCCUACUAUAGUGUUAUUUUUUCCUCUGUUCUUAAUAAGUAUCUUUUGGGGGGAUAUUUCAAGACUAGGCAAAUAUUCUGCUUCUUAUAUUUUCACCUACUAAUUUAGCAUCCAUUUAUCAUUCUUAUUUGUAACAAUUAUUACCAUGGUGAUGGCCAAGUAGUGUUUUUCUAUUUUCCUCAUUUCUUCUAUAUUUAUUGAUGGCAUUGCACUGUAAGCUGUCCCUUUUUCACCAUUGAUAGAUUUAUUGUGUAUGAAAUUAUGGAUAUUUAAUGCAUGCUAUGGAUUAUAAUCUAUUCACCCUCAUUUAUUUAUUUUGUUGUUCAAGGUAUCCCAGAUUUACCCACCAGGAGUUUCUUCAGAUGAGUUCUUGUGUCCUUUUGAAAUACCUCCAUCCUUUUUUGAGACCUCCUUACUUUCUGGAGCCCCAGUAUAUUGCUGCUCCAAGAUCAUUUGUAUUUUCUCUGCCCCUAGUCCUAAAUCCAGCCACUGCUUAAAGAUCCUGACUCUUUUUGGUGGUGAAUGGUAUUAAGAAGUCAAGAUCUGGGUGCUAGCUAUGCUUCUUGUUACUGGGUGUCACUGUAUCUGGGCCUUCUCAGUAGACAGAACAAGGAAAUGUAGAUAUGUUCACAUAAAGAGACACACAUAGGUAUGUAUGCAUAUUAAAAGCCAGGAGAUCAUAGUGCAAUCUCCUAUUGCAAUCCAACAUUACAGGGUUCAUUCCUAAUUUGCAAUCAAUCCCAUUAGCUCCUGGCUGAUCUUCCCUGUAUUUCUUUGCACAAAUAUGCAGAUAUACGUGUAUUAUAUAUUUUCUUUUUUCUCACAUGAAUAGUUGCAUUAUUUAUACACACACACACACACCCAAGUACUUUGCUUUUUCCAGUGACAGUACAUCGUCCAUAUCAACUCAGAGAAACCUUUCUUAUUCUUUUAUAAAGCUGCACAGUACUCCAUUGUGUGGAUGUACUAUGGUUUAUUUAAGCAUUAUCCUAGGUUUGGGCACUUAGGUUCCUAAUAUUUUGCAAUAAAAAAGCAAAGCUGCAAUGAUUUUUUUGCCAGCUUUUCAUUGGGUAGUCUUUCUUCUUUUAAGCUAUAUAUAUAAAUAUCUCCAUUACAUAUUAUGGAAACAGGUCCUCUGUCAGAUACAUGCUGCAAAUAUUUUCUUCAGCCUAUGACUUCCCUUUGCAUUUUCUUAAUGGUAUCUUUUGGUAAGUGGAGUUUUAAAUUUUAAUGAAGUCCAACUGAUUCAUGCAUCCAAAUUUUGAAAACAUAGUAAAGCAGAAGACAACAUUUAAAAGUCAAAAGAACUACUGAAAUUUGAGUAUCUAUUGUUUAAAGUGGCUGGAUAUGCAAAGCAGGAGACUACUGUUUAUGAAACAUUAUAUCCAACCCCAUAUAAUAAAGGUGUUCAGAAAAACAUAAAAUAUCCUUCCACCACAGCCAGACUGCCGGCAGGAAAGAAAGGCAAACUAUCCGCAGGAAAGAAAGGCAAACUCCUGUAUGAUGCCUAUAAAAGAGCUGAGAGGCAUAGAAGGGAUGAACAAUUAUGGUGAAAGAGCUGAUGACUAGUAGUAGAAAGAUUCUUGCCCAGGUCCCAUGAAGAAGGCAACUGAGCAAAGACACAAGGUCUAGGCCAAGAAACCAUCUCCACAGCCUUUUGCUGAAAGGAGAUUAAAGCAAAUUGAUAGAUGCAGGAGGCAGAUAAGGGAACCUGCACAGGAUCUCACCCAGGCAUGCCCGCAAUGAACUGGGGGCCCACAUGCAAGCUUGGACAAUAAAGUGGAACCACCCGAAAUUCACGCCUUAGGCACUGGGAGAAGCCUGGCCUCUUCAGCUUGUGUGUGAUGGCCUGGUAUUCAAACAGUGAGGUGGGAGCCUGUUGGCAGAACCCCCUCUUUCUUCGCUGAGAACUUUCUUUUUACCUAAUAAAUCUGCCCUCCUCACCCUUCAAUAUUUCCUCAUGUCUAUUUUUUCCUGGUCAUGAGAUCAGAACCUGGAUUUUAGCUGAACUAAGCAGCAAAAUAUUCUGCAUCAAAAUAAGGUUAUAGUCCUGUGUGUAUGCCAAUUUUGGAACUGGAAAGGGUACUGGAUCUUAAUUCUAAAUAAACAAAUGAUAUGUGGGCUCUGGGUUUCUUGGCAGAAGGAGAUGAGAUACAGUUAGAGAGUACUGACAUUCUCAGCCCAUAGAUACAUGUUACCACAGGCCACAGAUACUCCUGUGAUAGCCAGGUCUCCCAGUUCUAAGAUCUGCUAAAGUAAAGCAAAAAUACACCCAAAUGAAAGUCACCAAAUGUCACCUCUGGCCAAAGAUACCAAUUUAAAUAGUCAGAAGAUAGUUUACGUUUUUUAUAAGCAGCUUAAAGUUAAAGGGACAUUGUAGUGGACAUUAUUGUAGCCUAUGUAUCACUCAUCUCCUUUCCCCCUUCCCUAAAGAACUCUAGGUCUGUCCCCUUUCCAACCCUUCCCCUACAGCUUACUUAUGUCCAGGGUGCUAACUCCAAUCUCAACUCCAGGGAAAUGCUUUGUUAUCUAAGGUGAUACCAACUGUUCACAAGUGACCAUAGAACUCUGAGGUCAAAGGUUUCCUGAGACCUUCUGUGGGGGUGGGAAAGCUGUCCUUCUUUAAUUGGGACAAUUCUCUCUCUCUUCCAGUACAUAACUGAGAAGCCACAUAAGCUCUAGUACUAGAAAUUAGCUUUGGAGUAAAACAGGCACUUACAGGGGAGAACAGAGAGAUAAAAAGAACGCACUUUUUGUUUGUUUGUUUUUUGUU